CCUUAUGUGCCUUUUAUACCUUUUAUAUUUACUUCAAUUCGUUCUACGUUGCCGUGAACAUUGUGGAAACGAAUUUGGGACACGCGGUAUACGUAUCGCAGAAUCCGUUUAAACGAUGAAAUGUUCAGUUAUAUCGAAACGAUUCCCAUCAAACAUUUCCAAAUAGAUAUACGCUAAACGUUUAAACGUGUAUUCAAAUAAAAACGGAUCGAAGUGGGAGCUAUUAUUGUACAAACUAGUGUAUACUUGUGGACAGAAUGAUAUUAUCAGAAAAAAGAGUUUAAUAUCCAUAUUUUUUAGACUUGUGUGUAUAGAUAGUCGAGAUGUUACGAAACAUAUAUGCGGAGAUCCAUAAUUCUAAUGUCAAUUUUUAUUGUGGGCUAACGCAUACAUCGACGUGUACUUUGGCUUUUCUUUUAUGUCACAGACGGUAAUAUAUUUCGCGCAUUUGUAAGACAAAAGGAUGGAGGAGUCUCUUGGAUAAGGCUCAAAGAAAACUUCAAAGUGAACGAUCGAUCCCCAUGUAAUCUUUACUCCAUGAACGACAGUCCGAGCGUCGUUCCACUGGAGAAAAAUUCAAGAUGUCGUUUCUAUUUUGUACGUUACAUAAGCCAGCGAGGUCGACACUCAUGCCUGUAAAUAUGAAAAGAAAGCAGAAGAUGUACGCGAAGCAGAUGACAGAAUUGCGACACGUUCGCCGGUGACACGUUCGGUGAAAACUAAAUUUAUUCCUGACGUAAUUGGUGUGAAAUGAGGAAAAAGUAUGUGAAACGGUGGGACUACGAAAUAGUGGAAUACUGAAGCUGAAAAUUUUACCGGCAGAACACUGACAUUUUUCUAUAAAGUUUACGUCAUAUAGGUUGUACAAAAUUACAAAUACUUUUACGCAAAAGAGUGUGGGAGCAUUGCUCAAUAUGUAAUAAAAACAAAAAAUUUGUAAUAUAAAAUUUCAAGCUGUUAGCGUAAUAUUAGUCUAAUCCGAAAGUUUCGCAACUUGUACAUAUCGAAAAUGUGAAUACUCCAAAACAGAAAAAGAACAUUGCUUCGCAUUUGAAUUCAGGAGCUUAAGAAUAUCGGAAAAGUUUGCAAAAAGAUUUUUGCAUAUGCAAAAUGCAUGGUUAAGUUUCCCGCUGAAUAUAAUAAAACAAAGCAACACAUAUUUGUAUAAGUUCUGUCUGUACAAGAAAUACGAAAAAGAUAGCGUGAUUAGUGACGAUCGUAUCUGCAUUAUCGACAUUGUUCAAGUUCAUCAUCGACUUCAGCAUACUCUUAAUAAUAAGACUCAUUUAGUUUUUAUUUCUCCAUUUCAUACAUUAAAUGAGAACCUUUUAAAUCAAUUCAAUUUAAUCGAAUUAAUCGAAUUAAUAAUUUACAUGUAUUCAAUAAAUAUAUUUUGAUGCAUUACAAUA